AGAAGCGAGAGGAAUGGGUGGUUGGUCGUAAGAAAAACCACAACACUGCAUCCAUCAAGGAUGAAGCCAAUAUCAUGCUUGAGAAACUCCAUGCCAUUGGCUACAAACCAGUUCUGCUACUAGGAAAGGAGAACAAAAAAAAAAGACAUUAAGUGUGAAAUAUUAACACCUCGCUGCACACUCUCCAACUUUGCCCUGGACUACCUACAGAAAAUAGGUUCAUUUUAUGAAUACCUUUGUGAAGGAUGGACCCAGGAUUCCAGUGGCAAUGAGGAUCAGCUGAUUACUCUGCAGCUCACACCCUGCGAGGCAGGCCCCACGGAGGGGCAGAUGGAGCAGGCGGGACCAACGGAGGGGCAGGUGGAGCAGGCGGGACCAACAGAGGGGCAGGUGGAGCAGGCGGAACCAACAGAGGGGCAGGUGGAGCAGGCGAGCCUCACAGAGGGGCAGGUGAGCCCCACGGAGGGGCAGGUGGAGCAGGCGAGCCCCACGGAGGAGCAGGGGGAACCCACGGAGGGGCAGGUGGAGCAGCCGGA